rnacentral:rRNA from 1 species
GAUGAACGCUGGCGGCGUGCUUAACACAUGCAAGUCGAACGAUGAAGCCCAGCUUGCUGGGUGGAUUAGUGGCGAACGGGUGAGUAACACGUGAGUAACCUGCCCUUAACUCUGGGAUAAGCCUGGGAAACGGGGUCUAAUACCGGAUAGGAGCGUCCACCGCAUGGUGGGUGUUGGAAAGAUUUAUCGGUUUUGGAUGGUCUCGCGGCCUAUCAGCUUGUUGGUGAGGUAUUGGCUCACCAAGGCGACGGCGGGUAGCCGGCCUGAGAGGGUGACCGGCCACACUAGGACUGAGCCACGGCCCAGACUCCUACGGGAGGCAGCGGUGGGGAAUAUUGCACAAUGGUCGCAAGCCUGAUGCAGCGACGCCGCGUGAGGGAUGACGGCCUUCGGGUUGUAAACCUCUUUCAGUAGGGAAGAAGCGAAAGUGACGGUACCUGCAGAAGAAGCACCGGCUAACUACGUG